rnacentral:lncRNA from 1 species
AUGGAACCUAACUGUUACCAGGUUGUUUUCUAGUUUUCCUAUACAAGUUUAGCAAAAACCCAAAUAUCUGUUCAAAUGUCACCAUACACAGUUGGGAUGUGGAGUUUUGUAGCCCAAACCAUCACAAGCCCUCUGAAAGGUUUCCCUCCUGUAACUCCGUUUAAAUACUCUUGCAGUACGAUGCCGCUAUGACUGCAAGGGGUCAGACCUACACCAGACAAAACCAACACGUUCUAACCCCAUAAUAAUGCAGGACCUCUGGGGAAUAAAGCUGCUCUCUUUUUCCCACAUCCCACCGUGCUCUGGGGCGCCUUUUUGUUUACACUGCCCUCACAAUGAGCGCUAUAGUGCCCGCCGAACGAGCUUGUAUGGGAGUGUUCUGGGCCUGAAUGUACAGCCAGCCACCGGCCCUGCUCUGAAUAAGCCCCUUUGAAUAUUGCCAAGACCCCCGCUUGCAUUGUUCCGCAUUAUUCCCCGUACAAUAGAUAUCACACUUUGGAAGUAAUUUUUUUAAAAAGGGAUGGGUGAAUCAAAAUAGUGGUAGCUUUUAGCUUUUGUUUUCUCACUCUCUCUUUUCUUUCACUCGUCUAGCUCUCUUUCUUUCUUUUUUUCUUUUGCUUCGCACCCGCCCCGCAUUCUCUCUUCUCUCUCGCCCUUUUUUCCGCAGCGGCUCAUUCAGAGUUCUCCAUUAUAGCGGCAAAUUAAAUAAACCACUCCAUUGCCAUAAGAGGCUGAGGCCCGGACUGAACCAGCCUAGUUAGCGAGGACCGAGGCAGGCGUGCAUGCUGGGAGAGAGCGCACCUCGCUGGGCUUUACUCCACCUCGCUCAUGGUUCUUCAGGCUGAACGAACGCAAUGGUUUGAGACGAAGCGGAGGAUGAGGAGUGGAUGGGGGGGAUCGAAGGGUCCCCACCCAACCCUCUGUCUCCAGUGGAGAGCUCUCUCCUUCCUCCAGCCCCCCUCCUCAAAAGGGCAGCAGAAAACCAUAUGGGCUACUUGACAAUAAAAAGCACUGCUCACGUGUUUGAAGUUCAGGCUCCGACGUUUCAGAUCAAUGAUUUAUUGUUUAUUCCAGAGAAAAUGAUCAUUUGGAGAUCAUUUAUCCCAAAUAACAUUUGUCAGCAGUGGUUUGUAGCCAACUGUUUACCUUCCGCGCGCCGCAGAAAACCCAUCAGCUGCGCCUGUAGCGCGCGCGCUCUCCCGUGCUCGUCACCUGACCGUGAGCCAUAUGCAAAUCUGCCCCGUCCUCAAACGCCAUUGGCUCUCCCUCACUCAUUUAUUCCCUGUCAACGCGCAUCAUAUGGCCGCUCUCCCACUAACUUUUCAAGCCCACCGCUGAAAGUAGCUCAAAGACAAUUCUGCACUGGAUGUGAAAAUCACCCCGAGAGAAAGUUUGAAUAAAACAAAGGGAGACGAGCAGCUGCAAAGUUAACUUACCUUCUAUCCUCUCUCUGGAUUGUACCGAUCUCUCCUGUUCGACUGGCCUCUUUUGUUAUUAAGAGGUCCUACACCUGUGUGCCUGCCAGGAACGGGGACGUGUGAAUGUUUCUGUGUGUGAGCUG